AGCUUUGUGCAGUGGCAGUAUUGUAGUCAAUUAGGUUUAUCCAAGGAGCAAUUAUUGCUAAUUGAAACUUGAGAAAGUUUUAUAUGAUUCACAUUUUUCUGUAUAAUUGUUUUAUAGAAUAUUCUCCUUCUAGAAG